GGGGAAUAUUGGGCAAUGGGCGCAAGCCUGACCCAGCAACGCCGCGUGAGGGAAGAAGGCCUUCGGGUUGUAAACCUCUGUCCUAUGGGAAGAAGAAAGUGACGGUACCAUAGGAGGAAGCUCCGGCUAACUACGUGCCAGCAGCCGCGGUAAUACGUAGGGAGCAAGCGUUGUCCGGAAUUACUGGGCGUAAAGGGUGCGUAGGCGGUUGUUUAAGUCAGAUGUGAAAUACCCGGGCUUAACUCGGGGGCUGCAUCUGAUACUGGAUAACUAGAGUGCAGGAGAGGAAAGUGGAAUUCCUAGUGUAGCGGUGGAAUGCGUAGAUAUUAGGAGGAACACCAGUGGCGAAGGCGACUUUCUGGACUGUAACUGACGCUGAGGCACGAAAGUAUAGGUAGCAAACAGGAUUAGAUACCCUGGUAGUCCAUACUGUAAACGAUGAAUACUAGGUGUGGGGGACAAUAGUCUUCCGUGCCGCAGCCAACGCAAUAAGUAUUCCGCCUGGGGAGUACGGUCGCAAGACUGAAACUCAAAGGAAUUGACGGGGGCCCGCACAAGCAGCGGAGCAUGUGGUUUAAUUCGAAGCAACGCGAAGAACCUUACCAAGGCUUGACAUCCCGGUGACCGGCAUAGAGAUAUGCCUUCUCUUCGGAGCACCGGUGACAGGUGGUGCAUGGUUGUCGUCAGCUCGUGUCGUGAGAUGUUGGGUUAAGUCCCGCAACGAGCGCAACCCUUGUUACUAGUUGCCAGCAUUUCGGAUGGGAACUCUAGUGAGACCGCCGGGGAUAACUCGGAGGAAGGUGGGGAUGACGUCAAAUCAUCAUGCCCUUUAUGUCUUGGGCUACACACGUGCUACAAUGGUCGGUACAAAGAGCGGCGAGCUCGUAAGAGUAAGCGAAUCUCAAAAAGCCGGUCUCAGUUCAGAUUGUGGGCUGCAACCCGCCCACAUGAAGUCGGAGUUGCUAGUAAUCGCGGAUCAGCAUGCCGCGGUGAAUGCGUUCCCG
rnacentral:rRNA from 1 species